rnacentral:rRNA from 1 species
UGGGGAAUUUUGGACAAUGGGCGAAAGCCUGAUCCAGCAAUGCCGCGUGUGUGAAGAAGGCCUUCGGGUUGUAAAGCACUUUUGUCCGGAAAGAAAUCCUUGGCUCUAAUACAGUCGGGGGAUGACGGUACCGGAAGAAUAAGCACCGGCUAACUACGUGCCAGCAGCCGCGGUAAUACGUAGGGUGCAAGCGUUAAUCGGAAUUACUGGGCGUAAAGCGUGCGCAGGCGGUUUGCUAAGACCGAUGUGAAAUCCCCGGGCUCAACCUGGGAACUGCAUUGGUGACUGGCAGGCUAGAGUAUGGCAGAGGGGGGUAGAAUUCCACGUGUAGCAGUGAAAUGCGUAGAGAUGUGGAGGAAUACCGAUGGCGAAGGCAGCCCCCUGGGCCAAUACUGACGCUCAUGCACGAAAAGCGUGGGGGAGCAAAACAGGAUUAGAUACCCCUGGUAGUCCACGCCCUAAAACGAUGUCAACUAGUUGUUGGGGGUUCAUUUCCUUAGUAACGUAGCUAACGCGUGAAGUUGACGCCUGGGGAGUACGGUCGCAAGAUUAAAACUCAAAUGAAUUGACGGGGUCAUAGCUG